AGAUCAUUAGUCUAACGGACAGAACACUUCGCUACGAACGAAGAGAUAUAGGUUCGACUCCUAUAUGAUCUACUA
rnacentral:tRNA from 1 species